CGACGGAGAGGUAUGGGCACUGUGAAUGACAUCUCGCUUUGUGUGGUAGGGCACAGCACAGCGGAUGUCAUUCCAGAUAUAGAGCAGAGACCAACUGGGGAAGCACCUUACAGAAAACCGCAGCCAAAUAACACUAGACCCCACUCAUAGUGUUGUGUUCCUGCCUGUGAGUAAGGUUGCCAGAGCUCAACGAGGGUGCAGAGAGGUGCGGAGUGUUAGACGCCCAUGUAACACCUCUGGAGUUGCAGGCGUCCAUAGGCUACGGAUACUGCUUACCAUCAGGCGGGCCGUAUGCUUCUUUGCCUAAUACGUAGUACAAAAAACUA